ACACGUAGGGAGCGAGCGUUGUCCGGAAUUACUGGGUGUAAAGGGAGCGUAGGCGGGAGUGCAAGUCAGAUGUGAAAUACAUGGGCUCAACCCAUGGGCUGCAUUUGAAACUGCAUUUCUUGAGUGAAGUAGAGGUAAGCGGAAUUCCUGGUGUAGCGGUGAAAUGCGUAGAUAUCAGGAGGAACACCGGUGGCGAAGGCGGCUUACUGGGCUUUUACUGACGCUGAGGCUCGAAAGCGUGGGGAGCAAACAGGAUUAGAUACCCUGGUAGUCCACGCUGUAAACGAUGAUUACUAGGUGUGGGGGGACUGACCCCUUCCGUGCCGCAGUUAACACAAUAAGUAAUCCACCUGGGGAGUACGGCCGCAAGGUUGAAACUCAAAUGAAUUGACGGGG
rnacentral:rRNA from 1 species